rnacentral:rRNA from 1 species
GUUUGAUGGCGACCGGCGCACGGGUGAGUAACACGUAUCCAACCUGCCGAUGACUCGGGGAUAGCCUUUCGAAAGAAAGAUUAAUACCCGAUGGCAUAGUUCUUCCGCAUGGUAGAACUAUUAAAGAAUUUCGGUCAUCGAUGGGGAGUGCGUUCCAUUAGGUUGUUGGCGGGGUAACGGCCCACCAAGCCUUCGAUGGAUAGGGGUUCUGAGAGGAAGGUCCCCCACAUUGGAACUGAGACACGGUCCAAACUCCUACGGGAGGCAGCAUG